rnacentral:lncRNA from 1 species
GGGGUGAGCUUAGUGAUGAAUGGAGCUGCAUCAUGAAAAUACAUGUUUCACUUCAUUUUCAGCACGCUGCAUAUGGCUUUCAUAAUGUAAACGUGCUCCAUUGGGGUUAUUCUAGAAGCCAGCACAUGCUUCACAUGUAGUCCACGUGUAGGCUGAUCCAAAUUUCACGGAUCUAAAUUCUUCUUUGCACAUGGCCGAGUGGAUGUACUAUAAAUCCACCAAGGCAGCUUUUGUAAAUCACUUUUGGAUUUUGAGAGAAUUGAAAUGCUGAUGUACUUUCCAGCCUUUUCUCCACCAAGAGUCAACAACCUUGUGCUUCCUUCCAUUUUUCCUCUAGCUUCCUUCCAAGGAGAAGGCCUUCUGAGUUAGAUUCCACCACCACCGAAGCACCUCCUGCAUCACCUUUCCAUCAUUCACACACGUCGCUGCAGAGUUUAUCUCUAUUUCAACCAAUUCCUUUUCCGCUGCCAAUACAGUCACAAUGCAUCUCACCGUCCAUUCAUCAACAUCCUAACUGCAGAACUUCAUCCUCUCUGCAGUUCAUCACUGUAAGCCAUAGCGCGCACCCUGCUUCCUCUGUUCUUGUCCGCUGAUAUUACCACCAUCUUCCAAAGCUCAGGGAUCUGGAUCUGGCAUCAAGGAUGGAUGCUAUCAGUUGCACUCAUUUUAAUCGAUUAAUAGUAAUAUUAAUCGAUUAAAAGUGUUAAAUUGCCAGUUUCAAAGAAUGGAAGAGUAUUUGCUUGAGUCUAUAAAUAGGCUCUCUUUAUCCAUCAUCAGCAACUCUUCCCUUGUGCUCAAAUACUCAGAACUCUUUGAGAAUUGUGUGUUCUUUCUCAACUAAGGAAACUCUUGUCU